CUCUCGUACAGUGAAACUGCGAAUGGCUCAUUAAAUCAGAUUAUGGUUCAUUUGAUCGUACAGUUUACUUGGAUAACUGUGGUAAUUCUAGAGCUAAUACAUGCGAGAAGCGCCGACCUCGCGGGAGGCGUGCAUUUAUCAGACCAAAAACCGGCCGCGUCUUCGGGCGCGUUCGCCUUGGUGACUCUGGAUAACUUUGCGGAUCGCACGGUCUAGCACCGGCGACGGAUCAUUCAAGUGUCUGCCCUAUCAACUUUCGUCGGUACGGUAUUUGCCUACCGAGGUUCUUACGGGUGACGGGGAAUCAGGGUUCGAUUCCGGAGAGGGAGCCUGAGAAACGGCUACCACAUCCAAGGAAGGCAGCAGGCGCGCAAAUUACCCAUUCCCGACGCGGGGAGGUAGUGACGAAAAAUAACAAUGCAGGACUCGUUCGAGGCCCUGUAAUUGGAAUGAGUACACUUUAAAAGCUUUAACGAGUAUCCAUUGGAGGGCAAGUCUGGUGCCAGCAGCCGCGGUAAUUCCAGCUCCAAAAGUAUAUAUUUAAGUUGUUGCGGUUAAAAAGCUCGUAGUUGGAUUUUGGGCGCAGGCGGCCGGUCCGUCGCAAGGCGUGUACUGGACGUCCUGGCCUUCCCUCCGGUUCUCCGCCGGUGCUCUUGACUGAGUGUCGGCGGCGGCCGCAACGUUUACUUUGAAAAAAUUAGAGUGUUCAAAGCAGGCUCUCGAGCCUGGAUAAUGGUGCAUGGAAUAAUGGAAUAGGACCUCGGUUCUAUUUUGUUGGUUUUCGGAGCGCGAGGUAAUGAUUAAGAGGGACAGACGGGGGCAUUCGUACUGUGCCGUUAGAGGUGAAAUUCUUGGAUCGGCGCAAGACGAACGA
rnacentral:ncRNA from 1 species